AUGUCAAACAGGACACAGGGGAGGUACAGUGUCACAGCACCCUGUUACACAUGUACAGCAGGACACACGGGAGGUACAAUGUCACAGCAGUGUUACACAGGUACAGCAGGACACACGGAGGUACAAUGUCACAGCAGUGUUACACAGGUACAGCAGGACACACGGGAGGUACAAUGUCACAGCAGUGUUACACAGGUACAACAGGACACACGGAGGUACAUCACAGCAGUGUUACGUUGUGUACAGCAGGACAGAGGGGAAGUACAACGUGCCAGCACCGUUACACAAUACACACCGAGACGCGUGCGCACAGGUCAGGUGUGGGAAGCGUGCAUGGGAGGAGGCCUCCAGCCCCCAAUGGCGUCCGCUCCCGGGGACCGGGGGAGAGCGGUGCUUGGCAGCGUGGACAAGGAGCAGCCUGUGCGUCUCCCGCCGCGGAUCUCUGAAGCAAUGCCCGGUGUGGGGGACCCCCGUGGGGGGGUGUACGUGCAACCUGGACAGUUCAUUCUCUGUGUGGCUAACGGCAGCGGUAACGGCAGUGCCCCGUGGGCCGGAGAGAGGGAAGCUCCCUGUGUGUGGAGUUUUAAACUCUCAGGAGCUCCGGUAAUCCGUGUAAAGCCCAGGCCCCAAGCUCCGCCUCCCUGGGCGUGCGCCAGAGGAGAGCCCUGGCUGGAAAGCAGAGGUGUGAGGCCCUGUCAGCAACCCACAGAACCUUCGACUGAAGUCGACAACCUGCCCCCAGCCCUGUGAGCUUCCUGCUCAGGGCCCCCGGAGACACAGCCGGCACCGCCCCUCCCCUUCCAUUUUACUUCUCAUUCACAAACAAGGUUGUGAAAUCCCGAGUGCGUCUCUGGCUCCAUGAGCGUUCACACUAUUGUAUAGCUAUUACACUUUUCCUGGCUUUCCCCGUGCCUCAGUGUCUCCCUGCGCGGACUCAGUUUCCCCAAGAAUGCAGCUACCGCCUGGCCCCGGCCUGUCCCAGCACUGGCCCAAACACCAGGCCCUGAGCCACCUGCGGAAGCUCCCCUGCCACGCUGCUCCUCCCCUUCAGCAGUCCCAGGUUCAAGGCCACAGGGGGCAGGGGUCACACCUGCGCCCUAUGCCCUAUGCCCCGCACGACAAUGGCUCAGGUCCUCCUGUGUCACCUGUGCUGGCUUUGCUGACUCCUCUGAAGGAAAAGUCCUGUUUAGCAAUGCGGGGGGGGGGGGGAAGGGGAAAGGGAGGGGAAGGGGAAGGGGAAGGUAAACUGAACCAUCUCACAAGGCUCCUCCUCUGGGGUGAGCUCACUCUCCCCCUCAUGGCCUGAUG
rnacentral:lncRNA from 1 species